rnacentral:rRNA from 1 species
UACGAAGGGGGCUAGCGUUGCUCGGAAUUACUGGGCGUAAAGGGCGCGUAGGCGGCCUUGUCAGUCAGGCGUGAAAGCCCCGGGCUCAACCUGGGAACGGCGCUUGGGACGGCGAGGCUGGAGUUCGGGAGAGGAGAGUGGAAUUCCCAGUGUAGAGGUGAAAUUCGUAGAUAUUGGGAAGAACACCGGUGGCGAAGGCGGCUCUCUGGACCGACACUGACGCUGAGGCGCGAAAGCGUGGGGAGCAAACAGG